UGUUUUUUUAUUUUAUUUUUUGUUAAUUUCUUUUGUGAUUCUUUUUUCUGGGUCCUUUCCUUUUAAUUCCAUGGUCAAUCAAUCUACUUCCCCCCACCAUCGAAUAGGCUGUCAUCAAUUUUCAAGCAGAGAAUCAACAAUUUCACAAUGCCCUCAUUGUUCUUCAAUAAGAGCUCGUAGCACUCUCUACAGCUCCAACUCGUGCUUCUUCAUCGGAGCCCAAGGUGAGCUUUCCUUCCAAGUUCAUUGGGAA
rnacentral:lncRNA from 1 species